AUUGAACGCUGGCGGCAGGCCUAACACAUGCAAGUCGAGCGGAUGAAGGGAGCUUGCUCCUGGAUUCAGCGGCGGACGGGUGAGUAAUGCCUAGGAAUCUGCCUGGUAGUGGGGGAUAACGUCCGGGAACGGGCGCUAAUACCGCAUACGUCCUGAGGGAGGAAGUGGGGGAUCUUCGGACCUCACGCUAUCAGAUGAGCCUAGGUGGGAUUAGCUAGUUGGUGGGGUAAAGGCCUACCAAGGCGACGAUCCGUAACUGGUCUGAGAGGAUGAUCAGUCACACUGGAACUGAGACACGGUCCAGACUCCUACGGGAGGCAGCAGUGGGGAAUAUUGGACAAUGGGCGAAAGCCUGAUCCAGCCAUGCCGCGUGUGUGAAGAAGGUCUUCGGAUUGUAAAGCACUUUAAGUUGGGAGGAAGGGCAGUAAGUUAAUACCUUGCUGUUUUGACGUUACCAACAGAAUAAGCACCGGCUAACUUCGUG
rnacentral:rRNA from 1 species